rnacentral:lncRNA from 10 species
GUAAGCUGGUUUCUUCCUCCGUGGUCUUUGGCCCUGGCUUGUUUUGUGUGAUAAAAAGGAAGAGUCAUCGGAGAGCUUCAUAUACAGCGAACACAACCUCAGAGAUACUUUGGAGCUUUCUGGGUGGGGGAGAAAGACGUGGCAAAAGCAGCUGAAGGAUUCAGGGUUAACACUUUGCCUUUUGAAGAGACUUCAGUUCUUGGAGGGCUUCCAGUCUGAAUUUGGGGAAUUCAUCAACAGGAAAACAAAUAGCUGGCAGGCUCUGUAUUUACUCUGCCCUUCUCAAGGUUGCAACAUAAAUCUCCCAACUUGGAAAGCAUUAAGGCCGAGGAGACAUUUUGUGAGUUCAGGGACUCUCCUCCAGUCUGCAUGAACCACGUCUACCCUCAUUUCGGGAAAACACAGGCACCAGCCCUCAAGGUGCUGCGGGAGACAGUACUGACACUGUUUGACUCGCUUGGGGCAGACUGGGGAAAUGAGAGCUGGAAAACUUGAGUUCUCAAGUGAGAGCUGUUGGUCUGCUUUGGAAAAAACCCACUUACGCCAGGAGAAUGAAAGCCCUGAGAAGUUCUCACUGGAGAUGACCUCUUGCUAGGUUACCCAGGCUGGACUUGAACUCCUGGGCUCAAGUGAUCGACCUGUUUCAGCCUCCUGAGUAGCUGGGAGUACAGGUGCAUAUCACCAUGGCUGGCAACUUGCCUUGAUUCUUUGCUUCAUCUGAAUUUUGGAAGAUUGGUGACAUUAUCAUUGGUAUCAGUGGAACAACUAUCCUGAUUUGCCUCGGAUUGAGAGAUUUCUUGGCAUGGGGGCUUUGAGUGCUAAAACUGAGUCAGUCCCAGGUAAGGCUUGGUCACCCUAUCCCAUCCCUGCACAGCCCUUUGAGGCAAGCUGACGAACACACCUUUCUCCUCCACCAAGAGGCAGCUCAUGUCUCCCACCCUGUCCAUCCUAAACAAAAGAAUCCUCAUACAGGGGAAAUACACAAUAUGGAUGUGCUGAAGUAAUACAAGAAAGAAUGACAUGCCCUGGUCUUCCAACACUGGUCUGUACCCAACUAGAAAAGAGGACUGGCUUGGGAAUUAGCAGACAAGCUCAAUUAUUAACUUUUGUGUUAACUUUUGCCAAGCGACUAAUUUACUGCCACUGAGUUUUCCUGUCUGUAAAGAGGGGCAACAACUAGAGGUCUCUAAGCUUUCUUCUCCAUUAUACACUCCAAAGCUUGAUUGUAUAGGAACCAAUACAGUGCCUCCACCCUGCCCGAACUCAUUGUAUCCUUAAGUCCCAGAAAUUGCACACCAAGCCAUCUUGGAGGCCUCUCUUUUAGCUCAGCCCAAAUAAUGAACCCAGCUCAGGGUCAGACAUGGGGUAGAGUCUCAGCGCUUUUGCUCAGGGGUAGACCCUUUAGCUUAGUGCUGUCUGAUAAAAUUUUCUGCAGUGAUGAAAAUAUUCUGCAUUUGAACUGUCCAAUAUGGUAGCCAUUAGUCACAUGACUAUAUUUUAAAUUUAUUAAAAUGAAAUUUAAAUUUUAGUUCCUGAGUCAGAAUAAUCACAUUUCAAGGGCUCACUAGCCACAUAUAGCUAAUGGCUACAAUAUUGGACAGUGCCAACUGAGAACACUUCCAUCAUUGCGAGUUGUUCUAUUGAGCACCAUAGUUUUAGAGGACCAUUUUGAACAUUUUCUCAGUAGCUGGGGAAGUAUCCAGAGUAGAAAAAUGAGGAGAAAGACAGGAAAUGGGAGGGAAAGUGGCCAUCACCAGCAAUAAACUUCAUCUAUUGGCAUGGAAUUGUGGGAACAAUGUAGCCAGCUUAUUGGAAAUGGGACAUCUUAAAUCUUAUUAUAGGCAACAAUCUUCCAAAAGUCAAUUAAAAUGCGUGAAAAUAUAUCCUUCAGUGACACCAAGGUGGAAGUUCAGGCAUGGAAACUUUCUUUUCACGAACACCCCUAACUGGGCUAACUCUUUGUUUAACAAUAGAAAGCACCAGGCAGUACCAUUAAUCAGCUAAAUGUAAAUGUGGAAAAUUACUUUUUUUGCAAGAAUCAUGAUAGGAGAUUUUUUUCCCCCAAGCAUUUUGUAGAAUAAAAAAAAAUACAUGGAAAGUGUUUUGUUUAUUAUUGAAAUAAAGCAAAAAUCAAAAUUCAUGGUUAAGUGUUCAACUCUUGAAAGCAGCAUUACUGUCCUUGCUUAGGGAGUAAAUAAAGAAUAUUUUGUAGAAUUGGAGCCCCAGUAAGGAUGUUGGCAACAAAGCAUUGCAAUUCCAGCAGUAGAUUCUUAGUUCCAACUCUGGCACUGGAAUCUCUGUGACCUAGGGCAACUGACUUAAUCUCCCUGGCCUCAGUUUUCAUCUUGAGUUGGAGAAAGAUGGCAUUGGACAGGGUCCCUGGCAUCAUUAACAUUCUAGGAUCACUUUUGUGACCACAUUCCUGACUUCUGCCAUAGACAUUAAUGCUUACAUCUUUUAUCAUAGCCAUAAAUAUUGUUUCUUUUAACACUCACAGAUGAUCAGUGUUGUCAGUUGCCCUCACUGAAGGCUCCCAUAAUCAAACCUCUAAGCACUGUAGGCCUGGCAAACCUUCAGGUUUUCUGAAACCCUCAUACAGGGGGAUACUCAGCAUUAAACUACUCUGCUCAGAGUGAGGAGUGAACACCUCUCAGAGAAAUAGGAGCCCCAGCAACCGUAGACCUACCCAGAGGUGAGAGCAGAGGCUCCACCCUACUUGUAAGUGCAGCUGUAGUGUUGGAGCCAUUUCCAACUUGGCCACUCAUCAAUGACAUGACUUGGAACAAGUCCUU